CCAAAGGGAUGUUUUCUCCUGUUAUCUCUGAGGAGCGCAGGAAUCCAUCCUCCUGGCCCACAGGCAACUCGGAUGGUGGUGCACAUGCGCUCUUCUUGCCUAACUCUUGCACUGUCUCCUCUGUCUGUGCAGGGAGGCCCCAUCGUGUCCAGAGAUGCCCAGUAAUGCUCUCUGCCUCUGAGGCCAGGCUCAAGAGUCCUCCAUUGACCUGACUGAGCUUACCACGUCUCUCAAAAAAGGAUAGGAGGCCACUGGCAAUCAGACCGAGCCACGUGUGGCAGGUUCGGGACCUAGACACCCGCCCCACACGCCAUCAGACCCCACACCACCUUUGAGCUCAAUGUUGGGGACACAUGGCUUCCCAGUCUUGGGGAAGACACCAUGCCCCUCUAGUUUUUUUUUCAGGCCUGGGGUCUUCCCCGUCCCACCUGGAGGUUCCUGGUAACUCCCCUCCCCGAGUGCUUAACCGAGCCUGAACCCCUCUUAGCUCCCAAAGUAGGGGAUCCGUGUGAUCAGAGUAGCAUAACAGUGAGAGGAGAGAGCAGGCUUUUGAAUCCACGGCAUAGGAGCCGCUUUCCAGCUGGGCGGUGUGGCUUCCUCACACGCCUUCUAGAAGGGAGUGCGUGUUGCCCGAGUCUUUUGUGCAGGGCAGGCUCUGCCUGCGGUGCAAGGAGGGGGAAGAGAGGCCGAGGGUGUCCUUCAGGCAGGUAAGCUCCCGCUCAGCUUUGAUUUUUCGUAAGAAGUGGCCCUAGGAUUCCGUUGUGGCUUCAUUUCCGGCGUGAUGCCAUUGUGGGGAGGGGGGGGGACCUCAUGGCUCUAGUAGGGUAAACGCAACCUACCCUCUGCAGGAAACACAAGCAUUCCGCCCGUGUGACCCUGAACGCGUGUAAGCAGAAAUGGGAGUGGGGAGAUCGUGGGAGGGAAUGGGAGGGGGGGUCACUUUCCAGUGUCUGUCACUAGCUAGAGCAUGCGAUGGUGCUGUUCUCAUGUGUAAAUCUGUAUGUGCUAAUCAUUUUUAUCUUCAUUGUAAAAGGUGGGGGCAGGAAAUGAACAAAUGUCCCCCCCAAAGGGCGCUUUCAUCUCCCUCUGAUUAAAAGCCCUUUCCCCCCCCCCAUGCUCUGCUUUUUAAAUCUCUAAGCUAUUCCGCUUGCUCAGCUUUUCCUAAUCAAUCUGGAAUCGCCAUACUCUGUGAUCAUCUCUAAAUUUAAAUCGUAUGAUCUUUUAUUUUCUAAUGUAUCAUUUAAAAAAAGACUAGGAAAUAACUAGAAAUGAGAAAAGAUACCAGCAGAAAGUAAAUAAAGGAGAGAAAGCUGCAGUCA
rnacentral:lncRNA from 1 species